UCUCUUGUUUCCAACGAGAAGGUUGCUCUAGUACUUUGACUAUAGUCCUGUAGUUUUGUGGCUUAGAAGUUGAAUAGAAGUAGUCUCAUUCUUUCCCUCCGCACAUUAUUUGAUAUCCAAUGCUGUUAGCCUGAUUGAUGAUUCUCUUGUGGAUCAGGAGGAUAAGUCGAUGUUUUUUUUGUUGAGAGCAUUAGAAUCGAUCUCUUGCCGGCUUCUGUUUACUGUGCUUGAGUUUUGUGAGGUUGAUUUGAGUCGUCUAGGUUACUACUCUGUCCAGGCUGGAAUUGUACCAUUCAUUUGUAUCUUGAGCUGGAUUAAUAUAUAUAUUCAAUGAUAGAUUCUGGAAAAAAAAAAAACAUCGACUUAUCCUCCUUCUCG
rnacentral:misc_RNA from 1 species